rnacentral:misc_RNA from 1 species
ACAAACUUGGUCAUUUAGAGGAAGUAAAAGUCGUAACAAGGUCUCCGUUGGUGAACCAGCGGAGGGAUCAUUAUAGAGUGUUUUUCAGAACCUCCAACCCUGUGUGAACAUACCUGCAGUUGCUUCGGCGGGAGCCCCGGCCGACCCUCUCGGGGGGAGGUCCGGGGCGCCAACGCCCGCCGGAGGCCCCCAAACUCUUGUUUUUUUCCUGUGGCAUUGUCUGAGUGGCGAAAGCAAAAACAAAUGAAUCAAAACUUUCAACAACGGAUCUCUUGGUUCUGGCAUUGAUGAAGAACGCAGC